AAUGCUCUUGUGGUUACACAACAAAGCAUUAUACUCAAAAAUGCUGUAAGCAUCUCGAUGCGCUAGAACAAUAUUAUGUCAGUUUCAAUAAUUGGUCAUGUGGUUACACAACAAACAUAAUAUAGUUUGUGACAUAAUAAUGUCCUAGCAUGAAGGAAGGCCAUAAUGUAGUGAAUAUAACACCAAGCAUCCCAGCCAAGAAUUAAAUUAAGCUAAUCAGUCAGGUA
rnacentral:lncRNA from 1 species